rnacentral:rRNA from 1 species
UACGUAGGGGGCAAGCGUUGUCCGGAAUCAUUGGGCGUAAAGCGCGUGUAGGCGGUCCGGUAAGUCCGCUGUGAAAGUCGGGGGCUCAACCCUCGGAUGCCGGUGGAUACUGUCGGGCUUGAGUACGGAAGAGGCGAGUGGAAUUCCUGGUGUAGCGGUGAAAUGCGCAGAUAUCAGGAAGAACACCCGUGGCGAAGGCGGCUUUCUGGGACGGUACUGACGCUGAGACGCGAAAGCGUGGGGAGCGAACAGG